CUAUACAUGACUCUGCGCAUAUCAAUAAGCGGAGGAAAAGAAACUAACAAGGAUUCCCCUAGUAACGGCGAGUGAAGCGGGAAGAGCUCAAAUUUGAAAUCUUAAAGGGUUUCCCUUUACGAAUUGUAGUUUAAAGAAGUGUUUUCUGUUGAGGUUUUGGUAAAAGUUCUUUGGAAUAGGACAUCAUAGAGGGUGAGAAUCCCGUAUUUGACCUUUACUUUCAACUUUGUGAUACACUUUCAAAGAGUCGGAUUGUUUGGGAAUGCAGUCCAAAAUGGGUGGUAAAUUUCAUCUAAAGCUAAAUAUUGGCGAGAGACCGAUAGCGAACAAGUACCGUGAGGGAAAGAUGAAAAGAACUUUGAAAAGAGAGUUAAACAGUACGUGAAAUUGUCAAAAGGGAAGCGUUUGACACCAGUGUUGUUUUUCUGAAAAUCAAUUAAAGAACUGUUUAUGCUAAGUUGUUUAGACUUUAUCAGCUAACUGUUUAGUUUUGAGCUUUUCUUUAAUGCACUUUUCAGUUAACAAGUCAACAUCAAUUUCUUUUGCUAUAAAAAAGCUUGAGGAAGGUGGCUUGAGAUUCGUCUUAAGUGUUUAUAGCCUCUUGCCUAUGCAGUCGGAGAGAUUGAGGUCUGCAGCGUAGAUCCUUCGGGGCUAAAUGCAUUUGUGCUAAGUUAUAGCAUUUUAUAGACAACUUGUUGACUAUGAUUUGUCUUGUAGCUUACUCGCUUAUGUUAUUUUACCUACGCUUAGGAUGUUGAUCUACAGAGCGAGAGU
rnacentral:rRNA from 1 species